UAGGGUCUUCCAGGUUCUUCACUCGACCAUGUUCGUCGCCCGGCGUUAUGCGGUACGCUCCCACGUUGUUUGUUCUCUUACGGCGUCUUAGGCGACCCCCUGGUCAAGAACGACGAGAUGAAUAGGAGACGGGGAUUACGAACGAAAAAUCUUCCAUGGACGAAUUCAUUCUGUGCGAAAAGUUCCUUGCGCACAGAGAGGCGUCGAGCGUGUUUGCCGAACCUCUUGACGUUUAUGGUGCUUUCGCGGAAGGCACAUGGGGCAACCUGUGGGCUGGAACCCUGAGGAGACUCGUGAAGCUAAUGGCAGGGCCAGGCGCCUGUUUCACGGGCGUUACAUCGCCACAUUUUCGAAGAAUGUGGAGGAGCAUGGAAAAAUGGAGAUCAUGGACUCGUGUUGGGACCGUGCGACGACUCGGGUGGUGACCUCGAUCCGAACCUGGGCCUAAACUUGGACCUCGAUUGGGACCGGGGCCUGCUGUCGCCUCUGUUGGUGGGAAGUCUCGGGUAGGAGCGGGAGUGGCUUCUGCCAGCCCCAACUUGGGGGUCACUCAUCCUCUCCCUUGAAUGGCUGGGUUUCUCUUCUGCUCUUGAUUGCUGUUGCUGCUGCUGGGUCUUCUCCCAUGCCCUCUUCUCGACCAGGUAAGGUGUUCAAAACUUAUCUGGGGAUUUUCUGUCUCCAGUGGGGUGCUCCUUGUCACAGAGAGCACAUGUUGGAUUGCAUUGGUGGUUCUCUGCCAGGUUUAGGGCCUCGGCACCUCUUCUCUUCGGGCAUUGAAUACACAUCAGCUCAGUGGCCAACCUGUGCACAUGUAAAGCAAGUUUCUCCUUUUUGUAGAGGAGGAACCUCUGCUCCCUACCCCCUCCGUAGUAGAUAAGUGGGA
rnacentral:lncRNA from 1 species